CGGUUGAUCCUGCCGGAGGUCACUGCUAUCGGAGUUCGACUAAGCCAUGCAAGUGGAAAGAAUUAGAUUCUUCGCAUAACGCUGAGUAACACGCGGAUAAUCUGACCUGAGGUGGAGAAUAACCCCGGGAAACUGGGGACAAUUCUCCAUAGGCGAAAGGCACUGGAAUGUCCUUUCGCUAAAAGAUACGUCGCCUCAGGAUGAGUCCGUGGCGGAUUAGGUUGUUGGUAGGGUAAUGGCCUACCAAGCCGAAGAUCCGUAGGGGCCGUGAGAGCGGGAGCCCCCAGAUGGGUACUGAGACAAGGACCCAGGUCCUACGGGACGCAGCAGGCGCGCAAACUCCGCAAUGCACGAAAGUGUGACGGGGGAACUCCGAGUGCUGCUAAGUUUAUUCAGUGGCUUUUCUGGAAUGUAAAUAGUUCAAGGAAUAAAGGUUGGGUAAGACCGGUGCCAGCCGCCGCGGUAACACCGGCAACCUGAGUGGUGACCGCGUUUAUUGGGCCUAAAGCGUUCGUAGCCGGGCUAGUAAGUUUCCUGGUAAAUCCGACAGCUUAACUGUCGGAAAUCAGGAAAUACUAUUAGUCUAGAGGCCGGGAGAGGGUACGGGUACUUCAGGGGCAGGAGUGAAAUCCUCUGAUCCUUGAGGGACCACCUGUGGCGAAAGCGCGUGUCCAGAACGGACCUGACGGUGAGGAACGAAACCCUGGGGAGCAAACGGGAUUAGAUACCCCGGUAGUCCAGGGCGUAAACGAUGCCCGUUUGGUGUUGCAUGUUCUACGAGAGCAUGCAGUGCCGUAGCGUAGGUGUUAAACGGGCCGCCUGGGGAGUACGGUCGCAAGACUGAAACUUAAAGGAAUUGGCGGGGGAGCAC
rnacentral:rRNA from 1 species